rnacentral:rRNA from 1 species
UACGUAGGGGCCAAGCGUUGUCCGGAUUUAUUGGGCGUAAAGAGCUCGUAGGCGGUUCGGCAAGUCAGCUGUGAAAUCUCCACGCUCAACGUGGAGGGGUCAGCUGAUACUGCUGUGACUCGAGUCCGGUAGGGGAGUGGUGGAAUUCCCGGUGUAGCGGUGAAAUGCGUAGAUAUCUGGAGGAACACCGGUGGCGAAGGCGGCAUCCUGGACCGAUACUGACGCUGAGGAGACGAA